UGUAAUUUGUAGAGGAUGCUUUUGGUGCGGUACCUUCCGAGUUCCCUGGAACGGGACGCCAUAGAGGGUGAGAGCCCCGUCUGGUUGGAUACCAAUCCUCUGUAAAGCUCCUUCGACGAGUCGAGUAGUUUGGGAAUGCUGCUCAAAAUGGGAGGUAUAUGUCUUCUAAAGCUAAAUAUAGGCCAGAGACCGAUAGCGCACAAGUAGAGUGAUCGAAAGAUGAAAAGCACUUUGAAAAGAGGGUUAAAUAGUACGUGAAAUUGUUGAAAGGGAAGCGUUUGUGACCAGACUUGGGCUUGGUUAAUCAUCCAGCGUUCUCGCUGGUGCACUUUGCCAGCCCAGGCCAGCAUCAGUUUGCUGCGGGGGAUAAAAGUUUCGGGAAUGUGGCUCCUCGGAGUGUUAUAGCCCGUUGCACAAUACCCUGUGGUGGACUGAGGUUCGCGCAUCUGCAAGGAUGCUGGCGUAAUGGUCAUCAACGACCCGUCUUGAAACACGGACCAAGGAGUCGUCUUCGUAUGCGAGUGUUCGGGUGUCAAACCCCUACGCGUAAUGAAAGUGAACGGAGGUGGGAGCCUCGGCGCACCAUCGACCGAUCCUGAUGUUUUCGGAUGGAUUUGAGUAAGAGCAUACGGGGCCGGACCCGAAAGAAGGUGAACUAUGCCUGUAUAGGGUGAAGCCAGAGGAAACUCUGGUGGAGGCUCGCAGCGGUUCUGACGUGCAAAUCGAUCGUCAAAUAUGGGCAUGGGGGCGAAAGACUAAUCGAACCUUCUAGUAGCUGGUUUCCGCCGAAGUUUCCCUCAGGAUAGCAGUGUUGAACUCAGUUUUAUGAGGUAAAGCGAAUGAUUAGGGACUCGGGGGCGCUAUUUAGCCUUCAUCCAUUUCUCAAACUUUAAAUAUGUAAGAAGCCCUUGUUGCUUAAUUGAACGUGGGCAUUCGAAUGUAUCAACACUAGUGGGCCAUUUUUGGUAAGCAGAACUGGCGAUGCGGGAUGAACCGAACGCGAGGUUAAGGUGCCAGAGUAGACGCUCAUCAGACACCACAAAAGGUGUUAGUACAUCUUGACAGCAGGACGGUGGCCAUGGAAGUCGGAAUCCGCUAAGGACUGUGUAACAACUCACCUGCCGAAUGUACUAGCCCUGAAAAUGGAUGGCGCUCAAGCGUCUCACCCAUAC
rnacentral:rRNA from 1 species